CCCAGUGACCCGACCCGCAGAAAAAAUCCAGUCAGCGAAGGGUUCCUCUGACCGGGCGAGGCUCUCAUGGCGGCGGCUGACCCCGAGACGGCGGCGGCGCUGCGGGGGGAGGUCGCCGCGCUGCGGAUGCGCGUACAGGAGCUGGAGGCAGAGAAUCAGAGGCUGGCAAGGAUUGCUUCGACCUGUACCUGCGGAUUCAAGCUGCAGCAGCCCGAAUAGCCAGCUUUAAUUCGAAGCGAACAACCUGUAUGAUUCAGUCAGCUCCAGAAGAUGCAAUUGCCACUGUUGUUUAUGAGAGCUAAUUAGAGCAUCUCCAAGAGAGGAUUGUAUCUUGAUGUUGAUACCUUUCCUUAAAGCAAGUCAAUACCCUGCAUAUCAUGUACCGUAGGGCAGUGUUUCAAAGGUGUCGCCUAGGUGGCCAGGCGUACCCAGCUUGCCUUGUGAAAUAGUGAUGCCUUGUCGCCUAGGCGUCCAGGAGGGCAGUGUUGGAUCCAUUACUGCACAUCAUAAUGUGAAAUUUCAUCAAAAUAGCACUAUGGAGAAAGAUUUGAGCUCUCCAUUUGAUCACACAGUAAUAUCCAAUGCAAAUGAAAUGCAGUGCAACAGAAAUGCAGAUGACAAUGGUUUACCUGAGGAUUCAAGCAAGCAUACUAAAAGAACAGGUCGCAAGGUGGGCAUUUUAAGUCACUGCCCAAAGCGACUAGUUGCUCUCAAAGUCAUGUAUUUCGGCCAGAGAUUCUAUGGUUUUUCUUCUGAAGGUAACAUUGAACCAACAGUUGAGUCUGAGAUAUUUAAAGCACUGGAAAGAGCAAAACUGAUGGUUGCCAAUAGGAAAGAAUCAUGCUACUCGAGGUGUGGAAGAACUGACAAAGGAGUUUCUGCUACUGGACAGGUGAUUUCUUUAUAUCUGCGAUCGAACAUAAAGGAUGUUGGGGGGGACAUGUUAGAUGAAAGAUCCGAAAUUGAUUAUGUGAAGGUAUUGAAUAGAAUUCUUCCAAGAGAUAUACGUGUACUGGGUUGGUGUCCUGUUCCAGCAGAUUUUCAUGCAAGAUUCACCUGUUUGAGCCGGGAAUAUAAAUACUUAUUUUGGAAAGGGGACCUGGAUAUAUUGGAAAUGCAGAAAGCUGCAUCCAAAUUCAUUGGAGAACACGACUUUAGGAAUUUUUGUAAGAUGGAUGCAGCAAAUGUGAGUAACUACAGGCGGCACAUUACAGAAUUUACUAUUUCUGCAUGUGACAGAAGGUCCAACAAUGAUGAGCUGUGUUCCAUGACGAUCAAGGGUAGCGCUUUUCUGUGGCACCAAGUUCGCUGCAUGGUAGCUGUGUUAUUUCUAAUAGGUCAAGGCCUUGAGUCACCAUCCGUAGUUGAUUCACUAUUGGAUAUUAUGAAAACAUCUAGGAAACCUCAAUAUAAAAUGGCGCCAGAGCUUCCAUUGAUUUUGCAAUCUUGUCUAUUUGAUAAAGCCAACUUUAUGUGUUCAGCAGAUGCCAGCCGGUCUCUGACUGAGCACUUAAAUGAUGAAUAUCGUCACCAUAUGCUCCAAGCUGAAAUAUUUCACAUAGCGUCAUCCUGUUUACCUUUUCCAGAACCAAAUUCAUCAGAAACGCCUCAGAAGAAGAGGAACCAUAUUCCUCUCCUGUCACGAGAGACAGAGCCUUCUUACGAGGAGCGCAUAUCGAAAGUCAAAGCGAAGCUGGCUGAUAAUCUCAAGUAGAGCCACCGUUUUCAAUUGUUACACCAAUACUUGGAAGAGAACUUAUGGAACUGUAGAAGGUUUCUUCCAAAAGCCUAUAUGAGGCAAUCCCUCUUUAUGCCGGUCUUCGCCUUCUUAAGCUUGGCAGGUUUAUGACGUGCGCUUUUUUUAUGGCAAAAUUGGAUCUGUUAACAUGUGGAGAUGGAAAUUACCCGGAAACAUGAGCUUAGCGUGGAUUUUACCAUUUUGAGGUGUUAGAAAAGCGUGCUGCCUAUUUUAGACUAGAUAUACAGACUAAAACAUAUGGAGCCCCACAUUUCGGGUAUUGUCAAGUUGUGCGUUUCACUUUCAAAAUAGUGUAAGGGCCUUGUGUUUUUUUUCUUCUUCUGAAUUUGUUGUAAAAUAGUCUAGCAUCCCUUGCAAAGAGGGGGUAAUGUUGUUGUCACAUGAUGGUGUGUACCAAAGUGUAGUAAAGCAUCCCUUGCAAAGAGGGGGUGGUAGUGUCCUGUAUGUUUUUUUAAGCAAAUGUGACAAACUAUAUAAGAAAUGAAUAUUUCAUGUGAGUUAUGUA